rnacentral:rRNA from 1 species
GGCGAACGCUGGCGGCGUGCUUAACACAUGCAAGUCGAACGGAAAGGCCCUGCUUUUGUGGGGUGCUCGAGUGGCGAACGGGAGAGUAACACGUGAGUAACCUGCCCUUGACUUUGGGAUAACUUCAGGAAACUGGGGCUAAUACCGGAUAGGAGCUCCUGCUGCAUGGUGGGGGUUGGAAAGUUUCGGCGGUUGGGGAUGGACUCGCGGCUUAUCAGCUUGUUGGUGGGGUAGUGGCUUACCAAGGCUUUGACGGGUAGCCGGCCUGAGAGGGUGACCGGCCACAUUGGGACUGAGAUACGGCCCAGACUCCUACGGGAGGCAGCAGUGGGGAAUAUUGCACAAUGGGCGGAAGCCUGAUGCAGCAACGCCGCGUGCGGGAUGACGGCCUUCGGGUUGUAAACCGCUUUCGCCUGUGACGAAGCGUGAGUGACGGUAAUGGGUAAAGAAGCACCGGCUAACUACGUG